rnacentral:rRNA from 1 species
GCACAAGCAGCGGAGCGUGUGGUUUAAUUCGUUGCUACACGAAGAACUUACCUGGUUUGACAUAUAGGUUGUAGGGAACUGAAAAGGGACGACCCUUCGGGAGCCUAUACAGGUGUUGCAUGGCUGUCGUCAGCUCGUGUCGUGAGAUGUUCGGUUAAGUCCGCUAACGAGCGCAACCCUCGUCGUAUGUUAUAUGUGUCAUACGAGACUGCCGGUAAAAAGCCGGAGGAAGGUGAGGAUGAUGUCAAGUCAGCAUGACCUUUAUAUCCAGGGCUACACACACGCUACAAUGGUCUGUACAAUGGGUAGCCAAGCCGCGAGGCGGAGCCAAUCCUGAAAGCAGGCCUCAGUUCAGAUUGCAGUCUGCAACUCGACUGCAUGAAGCCGGAGUUGCUAGUAACCGCAGGUCUGCAAUACUGCGGUGAAUACGUUCCCGGGUCUU